AAAGUUGCAGAAUUCUAAGUGUGUUAAAGAAGAUCGUUUUAAGCAAAAAUUACUUCGAGUGGAGGGAAACGCGCGUUCUAGUAAUGAUCAGAGUGCUAUAAGGCCAUAUAUGUUGCGUAUAUUUGAUCCCAGGAAUAAACUUCUGCUGAU